AGAGUUUGAUCAUGGCUCAGGACGAACGCUGGCGGCGUGCCUAAUACAUGCAAGUCGAGCGGACGAAUCGAAAGCUUGCUUUUGAUUCGUUAGCGGCGGACGGGUGAGUAACACGUGGGCAACCUGCCCUGUAGACGGGGAUAACACCGAGAAAUCGGUGCUAAUACCGGAUAACACGAAAUGUCGCAUGACGUUUCGUUGAAAGACGGCGCAAGCUGUCGCUACAGGAUGGGCCCGCGGCGCAUUAGCUAGUUGGUGAGGUAACGGCUCACCAAGGCGACGAUGCGUAGCCGACCUGAGAGGGUGAUCGGCCACACUGGGACUGAGACACGGCCCAGACUCCUACGGGAGGCAGCAGUAGGGAAUCUUCCGCAAUGGACGAAAGUCUGACGGAGCAACGCCGCGUGAGCGAAGAAGGCCUUCGGGUCGUAAAGCUCUGUUGUUAGGGAAGAACAAGUAACGCAGUAACUGGCGUUACCGUGACGGUACCUAACGAGAAAGCCACGGCUAAACUACGUGCCAGCAGCCGCGGGUAAUACGUAGGGUGGCAAGCGUUGUCCGGAAUUAUUGGGCGUAAAGCGCGCGCAGGGCGGUUCCUUAAGUCUGAUGUGAAAGCCCACGGGCUCAACCGUGGAGGGUCAUUGGAAAACUGGGGGGACUUGAGUGCAGAAGAGGAGAGCGGAAAUUCCACGUGUAGCGGUGAAAUGCGUAGAGAUGUGGAGGGACCACCAGUGGGCGAGGCGGCUCUCUGGGUCUGUAACUUGACGCUUAAGGCGCGAAAGCGUGGGGAG
rnacentral:rRNA from 1 species